GAACUCCGAUGUUAGAUGUUAAGCGCUUGGGGGAGAGUAGUACUAGGAUGUGUGACCUCCUGGGAAGUCCUUGUGUUGCAUUCC
rnacentral:rRNA from 1 species